UAGCUCAGUUGGUUAGAGCAUCUCCCUUACAAGGAGAGGGUCGGGGGUUCGAGUCC
rnacentral:tRNA from 1 species